rnacentral:rRNA from 1 species
UACGUAGGCAGCAAGCGUUGUUCGGAGUUACUGGGCGUAAAGGGUGUGUAGGCGGUUCUUUAAGUUUGGUGUGAAAUCUCCCGGCUCAACCGGGAGGGUGCGCCGAAUACUGAGGGACUAGAGUGUGGGAGAGGAAAGUGGAAUUCCUGGUGUAGCGGUGAAAUGCGUAGAUAUCAGGAGGAACACCGGUGGUGUAGACGGCUUUCUGGACCAUAACUGACGCUGAGACACGAAAGCGUGGGUAACAAACAGG